GGGAUGUGGGUCCCUCCCCGCGCGCAGAUUUGAAAAGUGCCCCCCGAGAAGAAGGAAGAGCGAAGAAUCCGAGCGGCGAAAACACAAGCAGUGUCUCGGUGUCCGCAGACAUGGCCCCCAGGAAGAGAACCACCAGGCAGCAGAAGAACAACCCCAAGUCCGCCAAGCUCGAAGCCUUCCUGGAGGACUUCGACAGCGAGGUGAAAACCAGAGUCGGACAACUGAAGGAGAAAAUCAACCAACUGCUGAAAGAUGUCGACAACAGCUACAACAUGGCACUGAUUAAGUUGCCCAGGGCUGUCAGGCAGAUGCCCUGGAUGGAGCACUGCA